GACGAACGCUGGCGGCGCGCUUAAUACAUGCAAGUCGAGCGAGAACUAGGGCUUCGGCCCUGGGGACAGCGGCGAACGGGUGAGUAACACGUGGGUAAUCAACCCCCGACACCGGGAUAGCCCAGGGAAACUUGGAUUAAUACCGGAUGCCCCAUCUGGCUUUCGAGCCGGCUGGAAAAGGGUAGCUUCGGCCUCCGGUCGGGGACGAGCCCGCGGCGGAUUAGCUUGUUGGUGAGGUAAAGGCUCACCAAGGCGACGAUCCGUAGCUGGUCUGGGAGGACGAUCAGCCACACUGGGACUGAGACACGGCCCAGACUCCUACGGGAGGCAGCAGUAGGGAAUCUUGCGCAAUGGGCGAAGGCCUGACGCAGCGACGCCGCGUGAGGGAAGAAGGCCUUCGGGUUGUAAACCUCUUUCAGGAGGGACGAAGCCACUCGGGUUAAUAGCCUAGAGGGUGACGGUACCUCCAGAAGAAGCCCCGGCUAACUACGUGCCAGCAGCCGCCGUAA
rnacentral:rRNA from 1 species